rnacentral:rRNA from 1 species
CCUACGGGGGGCAGCAGUGGGGAAUAUUGGACAAUGGGGGGAACCCUGAUCCAGCCAUGCCGCGUGUGUGAAGAAGGCCCUCGGGUUGUAAAGCACUUUCAGUGAGGAAGAACGCCUGGUGGUUAAUACCCAUCAGGAAAGACAUCACUCACAGAAGAAGCACCGGCUAACUCCGUGCCAGCAGCCGCGGUAAUACGGAGGGUGCGAGCGUUAAUCGGAAUUACUGGGCGUAAAGCGCGCGUAGGUGGCUUGAUAAGCCGGUUGUGAAAGCCCCGGGCUCAACCUCGGAACGGCAUCCGGAACUGUCAAGCUAGAGUGCAGGAGAGGAAGGUAGAAUUCCCGGUGUAGCGGUGAAAUGCGUAGAGAUCGGGAGGAAUACCAGUGGCGAAGGCGGCCUUCUGGACUGACACUGACACUGAGGUGCGAAAGCGUGGGUAGCAAACAGGAUUAGAUACCCUUGUAGUC